AGUGGGAUAGCUGGGUCAAAUGAUAGUUCCAUUCCAACUUUUUCAAGGAAUCUCCAUACUGCUUUCCAGAUUGGCUGCCCCAAUUUGCAUUCCCACCAGGAAU
rnacentral:pre_miRNA from 1 species